rnacentral:rRNA from 1 species
AGUGAACGCUGGCGGUAGGCCUAACACAUGCAAGUCGAACGGCAGCACAGUAAGAGCUUGCGCUUACGGGUGGCGAGUGGCGGACGGGGGAGGAAUACAUCGGAAGCUACUUUUUCGUGGGGGAGAACGUAGGGAAACUUACGCCAAUACCGCAUACGACCUACGGGUGAAAGCAUGGGAUCUUCGGACCUUGCGCGAUUGAAUGAGCCGAUGUCGGAUUAGCUAGUUGGCGGGGUAAAGGCCCACCAAGGCGACGAUCCGUAGCUGGUCUGAGAGGAUGAUCAGCCACACUGGAACUGAGACACGGUCCAGACUCCUACGGGAGGCAGCAGUGGGGAAUAUUGGACAAUGGGCGAAAGCCUGAUCCAGCCAUACCGCGUGGGUGAAGAAGGCCUUCGGGUUGUAAAGCCCUUUUGUUGGGAAAGAAAAGCAGUAGGUUAAUACCCCGCUGUUCUGACGGUACCAAAAGAAUAAGCACCGGCUAACUUCGUG